rnacentral:rRNA from 1 species
AGCAGUAGCCACGGGAAUACGAGGGGGGCAAGCGUUGUUCGGAAUUAUUGGGCGUAAAGGGUGCGUAGGCGGUUUGGCAAGUCUUAUGUGAAAUCUUCGGCCUCAACCCGAAGUCUGCAUGAGAAACUGCCGGGCUUGAGUAUGGGAGAGGUGAGUGGAAUUUCCGGUGUAGCGGUGAAAUGCGAAGAUAUCGGAAGGAACACCUGUGGUGAAAGCGGCUCACUGGACCAUAACUGACGCUGAGGCACGAAAGCUAGGGGAGCAAACAGGAUUAGAUACUCCAGUAGUCCCUGUCUCUUAUAC